UCCCGGUGGCUUAGACAGUAAAGAAUCCGCCUGCCAUGUGGGAGACCCAGGUUCAAUCCCUGGGUUGGGAA
rnacentral:tRNA from 1 species